GCUCAGACCUCAAGCCAAACCUUAUACAUUUCCUGCUGCAAUAUGGCAUGUAGCAUAAGCUAAUGCAGGAAAAAAGACAGGAUAACCCUGAGUGAAGGAAUAAGAUGACAAUAUGAGAAGCAGCUCAGCAAACCUGAGUAACGCAUGUGUAUAGUCUGAAUAAAGGAAACAAGACUAUUAAAAAAACAGCAAAGAUGAAACACUUUGGAAAUCAGGAACGAGUCAAGGUCUUGCAGAGGCAAAGGCUGAGAAGGGCAGACUGCCAUGGAGACAAUGCCUCCCUACUGCUCUAGGUCUGCUUUUAGCAUCUGAAAGAAGAGCACAAGCCUGCUGUGCCCCCAAAAGCUGGACAAGCCUUUGGCUAUGACAGAAAAGUGAUGGCAAUCAGGUAAGAGAAAUAUGAGGAAUCCAUGAGGACAAAGAUGCCACAGUGAGUAGGUAGCACAAUAAAUUGAAAAUCUGCUUGUGACAGUUCUGAGCAUUUCUACAGAUUAAUGUAAUUUAUCAGUCACCGGAGCUUUUGAUCAGAUAGUGCUCAAAUGGGACUGAGUUUAAUGCACUGCCUGAACUAUGGCAUUAGUCAGUCAUAACUUCUCACAUGGAGACUCUUGAGCUUCAGCACAAAAGGUCU
rnacentral:lncRNA from 1 species